AGUCGACGGUAACAGGUCUUCGGAUGCUGACGAGUGGCGAACGGGUGAGUAAUACAUCGGAACGUGCCCGAUCGUGGGGGAUAACGAAGCGAAAGCUUUGCUAAUACCGCAUACGAUCUACGGAUGAAAGCAGGGGACCGCAAGGCCUUGCGCGAACGGAGCGGCCGAUGGCAGAUUAGGUAGUUGGUGGGAUAAAAGCUUACCAAGCCGACGAUCUGUAGCUGGUCUGAGAGGACGACCAGCCACACUGGGACUGAGACACGGCCCAGACUCCUACGGGAGGCAGCAGUGGGGAAUUUUGGACAAUGGGCGAAAGCCUGAUCCAGCCAUGCCGCGUGCAGGAUGAAGGCCUUCGGGUUGUAAACUGCUUUUGUACGGAACGAAAAGACUCUGGUUAAUACCUGGGGUCCAUGACGGUACCGUAAGAAUAAGCACCGGCUAACUACGUGCCAGCAGCCGCGGUAAUACGUAGGGUGCAAGCGUUAAUCGGAAUUACUGGGCGUAAAGCGUGCGCAGGCGGUUAUAUAAGACAGAUGUGAAAUCCCCGGGCUCAACCUGGGAACUGCAUUUGUGACUGUAUAGCUAGAGUACGGCAGAGGGGGAUGGAAUUCCGCGUGUAGCAGUGAAAUGCGUAGAUAUGCGGAGGAACACCGAUGGCGAAGGCAAUCCCCUGGGCCCGUACUGACGCUCAUGCACGAAAGCGUGGGGAGCAACAGGAUAGAUACCUGGUAGUCACGCCUAACGAUGUCACUGGUUGUGGUCUCCU
rnacentral:rRNA from 1 species